GCGCUCUGCGUGGCCGCCGCUCGAUUCCUCUUUCCAUCUGUGGAAGCCGCUGUGUUAUGCUAUCCAGUGUGUUGCCGCGACUACAGCAACAGCCAUCACUGCAAGAUCACAGUUCCUCAAUCAAAGAAAAGUGCUAGCUGCCACGCAUCACAAAGUUAAGCUUCCCAGCGACCGACCGAGGCGGUCGCCCUAAACGAAACCGCAGUAUCGGCGUCACUGUUUCAACGACAGCAAGUGACCGUAUCUGUCACGUCCAUGAUUUUCGUGACAAGGGUGUUAUAGUGCCUCCAAAUUCCUGUGUCGUUAUAUGGUCGUCGUCAUCGUCAUCGUCAUCGUCGUUGUUCAUGAACGGCGAAAAAGGCAACGUGCAAUAGCAACGUAUAGGAAACAUCCCCGAAAAUGAUUGACGACGCGCCUCGCGUUUCGGCUGUGCCCCACUGGUGGCAACCUCCGCAUAUUCAAUCAAGAAAAACAACAAUAGCAUUGGAUCUUUUCGAUUAGCUCAAUUCACAAAAGCUAAUCUAGCUUUUCUCUUCCUGUGUGGGACUUAAUCCGUUCUUGUUCCGUGUCGUCAACGGACGGUGUGCUGACGGUCAUGUUCAACUUUACCACGGAAAAAUUAAGCUUCGCUAGUCAAAUUAGUGAAGCAGUAAAGUAGCGCUUCGAACUCUUGCGGGUGCUCUUGAGCCUAAGUCGUUUGUGAAGAGUUAGAGGGACUGCUUCGCUGCCUGUCUACGUGCUGUGCGCGGGUCAGCGAGAGGAACCGUUGCUACAAUAGAAUUUGUUCUAGCACCCGGAAGAGCUUUCUUCUGACUGAUCUGUGUGUUAUUGCUCGUCUGCACGCGUGUUCCUAGCCUAAUACUAGACAUUGCAACUCCUCUGCUGAAUCAAAUCUUGUUGCCCUCGAGCACGAACGACGUCGCACUCGUUACAAACUGAGGCUUAGUAAACGUAUGACCUCAUACUACGACUACUACUUGGUCUUAUUCUCUAUAUUGAGCGACAAUUGGUAGCAGUGAAAAGUGCAUUGUUGAAUUCCUCGUACCACAUAGAACAAUAGAAAAACGGAGCAAAUACACACCGGUAGAC